UAAGCGGAGGAAAAGAAACUAACAAGGAUUCCCCUAGUAACUGCGAGUGAAGCGGGAAAAGCUCAAAUUUAAAAUCUGGCGGUCUUUGGCCGUCCGAGUUGUAAUUUAGAGAAGCGUCUUCCGCGCCGGACCGUGCACAAGUCUCCUGGAAUGGAGCGUCAUAGAGGGUGAGAAUCCCGUCUUUGGCACGGAUGCCUGGUGCUCUGUGAUGCGCUCUCGAAGAGUCGAGUUGUUUGGGAAUGCAGCUCAAAAUGGGUGGUGAACUCCAUCUAAAGCUAAAUAUUGGCGAGAGACCGAUAGCGAACAAGUACCGUGAGGGAAAGAUGAAAAGCACUUUGGAAAGAGAGUGAAACAGUACGUGAAAUUGUUGAAAGGGAAACGCUAGAAGUCAGUCGCGUCGACCGAGACUCAGCCUUGCCUCGGCUUGGUGUACUUCUCGGCCCGACGGGUCAGCGUCAAUUUUGCCCCUCGGAUAAUGGCAAGGGAAAGGUGGCACCUUUACGGGUGUGUUAUAGUCUCCUGUCGCAUGCGAGGGUUGGGAUUGAGGAACUCAGCGCGCACCUUUGGUGUCGGGGCUUCGGCCCACGUCACGCGCUUAGGAUGCUGGCGUAAUGGCUUUAAACGACC
rnacentral:rRNA from 1 species